AUAAACCCCACCUUUAUUACUUUUAUAAGUAACUCAGAACAGCGAACAUAUACCCCUCGGCAAGUAAUAUUAAAGUUACUCCAAAUUCGAAGGAAAUCUUCACAAGGAAUAAGAAGCUGAAGUUACUGCAUUCAUCAAUCGUUUCAGGAUUCUUGUAGCUUUCCAAUACGUUGCAACGACUUCUUCGCACAUCAAUCCCACAUCCGGCAAAAUUGGAUAUUACGGCAGGAACAGAAUAUCAGAAUAGGAUCGGAAUAACAGAGCUGGAAGGGACCUUGGAGGUCUUCUAGUCCAGCCCCUUGCUUGAGCAGGAGACUCUAUAUACCAUUCCGGACAAAAGGCUGCCCAAUGAAUGUCUUUUUGAAAACUAUCAGCGGAGGCUACGCAGCCUUUUCGCCUCUCCUACUUUAAACGUUGUAUCGUCCAACCUGGAAUCCAAACUGCGCAGCCGUUUGGCUGGACGUUCAAAAUUUGACUAAACCUUCGAAAAUUAUUGAUAGUCCCUUCAAUCGCAGAAACGGUAUUGCUUGGUUUCUAGCAACGCCUACUAUGGUUAAGGAAGUACAGUGGAAAAUCACAGCGAAAAGCAGAUUCGACCGUUUCUAGGAGCCGGCACUGCUAUUGUUCCGUCGCCAAUAAGAUAAACCGCAAUGCUGGUUGGGAGAAAAAGGGGGGUAAUUUCCUUAGCAACCUGUUGUACUGUAGGUGUAGCUAAGCUUGGAAGAAUCCGAUCUCUGCCCGUGGUCUGCGUGCUUCUCUGGUGGUUCGUGUCCUGAAAAAUGGUAUGGUUUGAAACGGAAUUUAAAUCGCCAGGAGAAGGUGAUUGGCAGGCAGGUUUUCAGGUCUUAAAAGGAGGAAUUAACGUCAAGAUUACUGAUAUGCUGAGGAAACCUGCUUGCCACAUUUUAGCAGAGGAAUUGUGAUAUCUAAAUGUCUAUAGUGUUACGAAGAAUUGGCUGAGUUCUGUUGUUUUCCCUCUAUCCUCCAGGAGAAUGCCAGGACUCAGGCUGGUCCCGCCGCCGUUGUACCCUCUUACAACAGUGACUACGAAAGAGAGUACGACCCAAUGAAAUAUCUGACGGAGGGCUGCCACUGAGACUGCCCACCAUAUCAGAAUAUAAGUAAACGUAGUUACCUGAAACAACAAAUUGAGAAUGACUGUAACUGCCUGUAUGUGGUGGACCCGAUGCCAGUGCCAAGUCAUAAUGUUGAGGAGUAUUGCCGGCUAUGUGAUUGCAAGUCUGUGGAAAGUAGUAACACUGCCAUUAUGAUCAUCCUCAUCGUUUUCCUCUUAGUAUUUGUAAUUAUUUUACUCUUCAACAUAGUUUUAAUGAUAGUUAAGCACCUCAGCCAUAAACCUGAUGCCUAUACUAUUUCCCUGCACAAUGAAGAAGAGUCAGAGGUGACUUUGAUGCUCUUUAAACAGGUUUUGUUUUCAUUUAGACUGUCUGAAUCUGAUGACUUCCAUAUGUUUGGUCCCAUACUCCCUCAUUCAAUUGAUUGUGGGAAUUAAAAGUUAAUACAUUUGAAAAACCUCAGAACCUUGUAGAAGGUUCAUAUUGGAAGUGAUCAGGCUAUUAAAUGUAUGUGUUCAGUAAAGUGAAUGGUAUUUAGAAAUCUGCAUGUAUACUUAUUCACAUAAAGUUUUCUGUGUGCACAGAAUCCUUCCCACCCAAAGAGGACACUUGUUCAGUAUGCAGUCCUUUCCCUUUAGAUACCCUUCAACCCAAUGCAGGCAUACAUUCAUCCUUUCCAGACAACAUAAUGUCUUAGAAGGAUAUAAGAUAUGCCUUAAAAUCUAUUUCUAUGGUUUAAAAUCUAUUUUCAAGCUGAAACACUGCAGAUAAGUUGGGACUGCAGCUUUCUGAAGUUUGGAGGUGACUAGGUUAGAGAAGACAGCUUUAAACAAUUAGUGAUAUAAGGGAAUGUAGGAUUUAAUUCUAGAUUUUGGACACACGCACACAUUAAAUAUGAGCACAUUUUGCUUGUUUUCAUAGACAGUAACCAUUCUUAAUAAUCUGACUAAUGUUGCAGUACCGGUAUUACCACUACUUGAAGAUGUUUUCUGUUAAUGAUCAGUAACGUAGUUUAAUCUUGGUAUUCAUAGUUUGCAUAUGCUUAUAUUUGUCCAUUCUGUUUUAAGAAUACAUUGAUAUGUCUCUGGGUGGACUCAAGGUGGAGCAUUAUUAUUAUGCAUGUAAAAUGCUUUUUUGUGUGAUGUUUCUUCUUCUAUUACUGCAGGAUCCCUGCAUUUGAUCUCUUCCCCAAUCCACCCAACAGAAUAUGCUGCAUUUGAAGCAAGGUACUGGUUCCACUGCAUAUUCCAUAGAUGAGGACUGCCGCUUGUUUUUUUUCUUACAUUUUUCCAACUUCACUGAUUUUUUUAAAUCUUUUUUUAGAUGAUCAUGACCUUUUUGCUGUUCUUAAAUACCCUCACAAGUUCAGGUCAUUUUGAACUUACCGGUAUAUAUUCUUCCCUGAAAACUUGUUCUCAUCUUAAGUAUUUACCUUCCCUUCUCCAUCUCUACGAUUAAAUGGCACAUUAUUGUAAAUCAAUAUAUAGAUAUAUUAAAGUUCUGUACAAAUUCCUCCAAAGCA